UACGGGGGGGGGCAAGCGUUGUUCGGAAUUACUGGGCGUAAAGGGCUCGUAGGCGGCCAACUAAGUCAGACGUGAAAUCCCCAGGCUUAACCUGGGAACUGCGUCUGAUACUGGAUGGCUUGAAUUCGGGAGAGGGAUGCAGAAUUCCAGGUGUAGCGGUGAAAUGCGUAGAUAUCUGGAGGAAUACCGGUGGCGAAGGCGGCAUCCUGGACCGAGAUUGACGCUGAUGAGCGAAAGCUAGGGGAGCGAACGGG
rnacentral:rRNA from 1 species